AGACAGAGCUACAACCAGUGAGGGACAAAAGUGAGGCAGCUGCUGAAGAGUGCCUUCUUUGUUAAUGAGACACAAAAAAUAAGGAAGAAUAGGAUAGGCUCUGCUAGAAAAUGCAAAGAGGAAGAUAGAGGAGGGACAAACUUGCAUGGAGUAGGAACAUCUGACCUGGACCUGGGAGGGUAAAGAAAGCUGAAAGGCUGAAUUGGUUUGAUCCAGAGAGGCAGUUAUGCAUAAGAGCAACCACUCUCUAUUGAAUUAGGAGAUCUCUCAUGCAACACAUCUCACCAAUUACAAGGUUUCCUGUGGAAGCCAAAGGAGGGCCUCGAUUUCCUGUAACUGGAGUCCCAGAUGCAAAUCCUUGAAGAAGAGAGAACUCAUGCUGAGCUGCUUGUUUCGCAUCCCAAAAAGGACUCAGGAGGACUGUUCAUCUAUUUAGUGACAGAAUUUUCCAUGCUCAAUAAAUUCUGCUGCUUG
ensembl:lincRNA Gm12665 predicted gene 12665